rnacentral:lncRNA from 1 species
GAUGGGCAGUCUACCUAGUCCUAGUGCAGGCAAGGCUAUAACAAACCAGCCAGAGAAUUAGAUAUCAGGACAGUUGCUUGUUGUAGUGCAGUUUCUUAGGUGGAGAUUUUCCAACAAAAAGCUUCUAGACAGUUACUCAUUAAAUUGUUCUUGUUAGAAGAAUUUACUUGUUAUUCUAGUACAUAUUUGACAAAAAAUUUUAUCACUGCUGGAUUGUAGAAGAAUGGUCAUCCAUGUCUGAUUAAGUUCAUUUUGUGAUUUCAAUUUAUGUUUUUCAGCAUUCCCACAAAAUUUUUUUUUGUAAAGUUACCUUAGGAAUCUAGCACACCAAUAACUUACUAUGGAAGACCUUGUUCUUGAAAUUUUAAUUGAAAUAAAAGAAAGAAUUUUAAGUCCCAGGUUAGCAGGACCACUGAAGAUGAAGUCUACAACUUUAGAUACCUGCUUUCAGGUUUUAUUAAUGAAGGAAUUUCAGGUGCUUAAAUAUCACUUCUUGUCUAACAUGGAUUUGGGAAGUACAGUGCUAGAGAUGGUAGAGUAAUUUCAGUGGCUAAAGGAAGGCAAGACAGACUGAGUUUCCUUUUAUUUGCUUCAACAUAAGACACAUGGGUUAACCUACCACCUCCCCACUGUCGCCCAUUUUUGUUGUAUGUCUACAUUUCCUUUUGUGUGCAUCAGCCUAUGCCUGAGGGGCGAGUGAUUUGAAGCUAGGAGGUUAAAUCAGUAAAGUUUUAAGUCAGACAAGAAAGCUGAAAAUGCAAAUAAUGUAUGAAAAGAUUUGGAGAAAUUAGCUUAACUAUUUAUGAAACGAACUUGGAUGUCAUACCAUAGAAAGUUAUAGGCAGAAGUCUCAGUAGGAACAAGAUUAAACAAGCCAAAGAACAAAAAAUUACCUUAUGAGUCACAUAAGGUAAUCCUUUAUCAGAGAAACUUGCAAACAUGUCAAAUGGAAAACCAUGACAGCGAAGUAAACAAAACAACACCAGAUUUUGAAGAUAGCAAAAUUAGCCACAAUAUAUAUCUACAAAAGGGUAGACAAAUUUUCAUAGCUUAGGUAGAACACAAUACAAAACAUCAAAGUAUAAAUAAACAAAAGAAUUGGAAUAUGAAGUACAGCAAAUUAGCACUUUUGUGUAGAUUUCAGUAAACUAUAACCUUUAGGCCAUAAAGAAGUCAUCUUUUCCUUUAGAGAUAACACGAUUGUAGAAGGAUUAAACUUGCUUGGUCCAAUGUCACUGCCAUCAGCAAGCCUGAAUUUCAUCUCAACCAAAUCUUCCACAGCCAUUGAACAACCUCAGCACAUUAAACCAACCUCAAGUUUCUCGAGUCCACAAACUCAAAUCAUCUCCAACUCCACAAAAGGAUGAAAAACAACAAUCUUUCUUGCUUUUACCGAAAAACCAAAUCAAAACUGAAGCGUUCACCCUUUAAAAACUCAAAUUUUAGAUUUCAUAAAAAGCCAAAAUGGGCUAGCUCAUUUAUUAUUCUUUUCAAUUAGAAAUAGCACUUCCAAAGAGACAUGAGAAAUUUAACCAAAUUUUGCCAAAACCCAAAUCAAGAUUCACAGGACUCUACCCAAAAGUCACAAACAAAGAACCAAUUCAUGAAAAUCUAACAAAUCUAUAAAACCAGAACAAAAAGGGAUUCAAGAACCUAAAAACUAAAUCUGACAAGAAAUAGAGAAGGUGCAACUAGCCAUAGCCAUGAACAUCCCUACCAUGCAAUGCAAAAUUAGACACAAAUAUUGAAAUUACCUCAAACUAUGCCUUCAAUCCCUAACUUCCCGUUUUCCCCUAGCUUCAAGCUCUAAACUCCAGCUUUCACCCAAAUUUUCAAGCCCUAAUUUCUAAUUUCUUGCCACCAAGCCAAUGUAUCAAGCUCUGAAUUAGGGAUGUUGGUGGUGCGAGCUCAACAAAGUUACCCAAAUUGAAAGUGCUUGCACUAAUUGUUUAUGGAAGACAAUCGAAAACUCUAGUUCAUGGAUGGAUUUGGUAGUGCGAGCUUGAUACAGAGUAGUACAUUC